CAGUGCACAAAUCUGUAACAGGGUAAAUUACCCUUAAUCGAUAAGUCACCAGAGAUCGAUAACUUUUCGACUAGCAUUUGAGCGCAUCGAUCUUCGGGACUAGAGAGAGAG